rnacentral:rRNA from 1 species
GAUGAACGCUGGCGGCGUGCCUAAUACAUGCAAGUCGAGCGAACAGACGAGGAGCUUGCUCCUCUGACGUUAGCGGCGGACGGGUGAGUAACACGUGGAUAACCUACCUAUAAGACUGGGAUAACUUCGGGAAACCGGCGCUAAUACCGGAUAAUAUAUUGAACCGCAUGGUUCAAUAGUGAAAGACGGUUUUGCUGUCACUUAUAGAUGGAUCCGCGCCGCAUUAGCUAGUUGGUAAGGUAACGGCUUACCAAGGCAACGAUGCGUAGCCGACCUGAGAGGGUGAUCGGCCACACUGGAACUUGGCCACGGUCCAGGCUCCUACGGGAGGCAGCAGUAGGGAAUCUUCCGCAAUGGGCGAAAGCCUGACGGAGCAACGCCGCGUGAGUGAUGAAGGUCUUCGGAUCGUAAAACUCUGUUAUUAGGGAAGAACAAAUGUGUAAGUAACUAUGCACGUCUUGACGGUACCUAAUCAGAAAGCCACGGCUAACUACGUG